AAUAACUGGUUUUAAUUUUAAUUUCCUUGAUUAUUAAUAAUGUUGGGAACUGAUCCAUACCAGCCAUUUGAAUACCCACUUUUGGUUUGUCAAGGCCACAAAGAAUAACUAAAACAACCAAAACAUUGUGAAUUGGACUAACACGUGACAUUUUGCAUGAUAUGAGGAAGAAUUUUUCUGCACAGGGAAAACAAAAGCUGAUGAAGACAUAUGAUUGAAGCCAUUUAAGGCGAACCGAAAUAAUGAAAAGCAUGAAAAAGCCCAUUUCACCUUAAAAAUGCUAAGCCUAUGGUGUUGUUUAUUUUAUGCCAACAUUUACAACGAUGUGUGGAUGCAGGGCGGGAGAACUGGAAGAUAUACGGAUGUCAACUUGGUCUUCUUAAGAGAAUGUUCUUAUCCAAUUGAUGGCCUGUUCAAGAAACUUAUUUUCCUAGGAGCGCCUGUGUGACUCAGUUGGUGUGUCUGACUUCAGCUCAGGUCAUGAUCCCACGGUUUGUGGGAUCUGU